UACGUAGGGGGCAAGCGUUGUCCGGAUUUAUUGGGCGUAAAGAGCGUGUAGGCGGCUUUACAGGUCCGUUGUGAAAACUCGAGGCUCAACCUCGAGACGCCGGUGGAAACCGUAAAGCUAGAGUCCGGAAGAGGUGAGUGGAAUUCCUGGUGUAGCGGUGAAAUGCGCAGAUAUCAGGAGGAACACCAAUGGCGAAGGCAGCUCACUGGGACGAUACUGACGCUGAGACGCGAAAGCGUGGGGAGCAAACAGG
rnacentral:rRNA from 1 species